AAGGGGUGUGUUCCAGAGCAGCUCCUGGAGGAGAUCGGGCAUUGCUGAGCGCAGUUCAAUACAGUUGGCCAGUAGCAGAGGAUGAAAGAAGAGAUUAUAUUCAAGAAAGAUUAUGCUGUCUAUAAAUGUUUUUGACACAUAGCGGAAAAGUGUGAUAAGUGCAACCAAAAAGAUGACUGAAGGACAGGAAGGAUGUGGAGGAAGAAAAGUGGCCCCUGCAUGCUACCAAUUAUUCCAAAGUAGUCUUUUUUUUAUAUUUUUGUUUUUGCUUGGUAGCAUAACUCCCGGUCUCCCGCAGAUGUGCAUAUGGGAGGGAUCUCCGUGGAGUGGCCCAAGAAGAGCUCGAGAAGUGGCGAUGUAUCUAUUGCCCCAACGUGGGAUUCGCCGAUCGGUGAGUCGCCUUUUAUUUAACCCCUUCCCUGUUUUUUAACAUAUAUUCUUUGUCUCUUUUAUUUUUUUAAAACGAUUUUAAUGAAAUAAUUUGUAAAUUAUUUUUUAACUUUUGUA